rnacentral:misc_RNA from 1 species
GGAAGAAGCCUGGUUUUGCACUGCAUAGAUUGGUUUAAAGUCAGACGUCAAACCUGAAAUUACUACACUCACAAUCUCAUAGUAUUGAACAUGAAAAUAUUCUUGAAGAUAUUGAAAGUAUUGAACAAAAAUAAAGGCAACUCAAAAUUAAUUCAAACUUGUUAAAAGAUGAAGGUCUUCAAAAAAAAUAACCAACAACAUAUAUUUGAGUUGAAGAAAAGUGUUUAAAGGGAAAGAUGACCUGCCAGU